GCCAGGCAUGGUGGUGCGUGCCUGUAGUCCCAGCUACUUGGGAGGCUGAGGUGGGAGGAUGGUUUGAGCCAAGGAGGUGGAGGUUGCAGUGAGCUGUGAUUGUGCCACUGCAUUCCAGCCUGGGCAACAGAGCCAGACCCUGUCUCCA
rfam:Gorilla gorilla gorilla genomic chromosome, chr5, whole genome shotgun sequence